AUCAUUACCGAGUGCGGACCCUCUGGGUCCAACCUCCCAUCCGUGUCUAUUCAUACCCUGUUGCUUCGGCGGGCCCGCUUGACUGUCCCCCCCCUCCUGGGGAGGGGGCUGCCGGCCGCCGGGGGGCUACCCUGCCCCCGGGCCCGUGCCCGCCGGGGACACCAACACUGAACACUGUCUGAAGGUUGCAGUCUGAGUUUUCAUAAAGAAAAAUUGUUAAAACUUUCAACAACGGAUCUCUUGGUUCCGGCAUCGAUGAAGAACGCAGCGAAAUGCGAUACGUAAUGUGAAUUGCAGAAUUCAGUGAAUCAUCGAGUCUUUGAACGCACAUUGCGCCCUCUGGUAUUCCGGGGGGCAUGCCUGUCCGAGCGUCAUUGCUGCCCUCAAGCACGGCUUGUGUGUUGGGCCCCCGUCCCGGUUAAGCAUCAGCCCCGGGACGGGCCCGAAAGGCASCGGCGGCACCGUGUCCGGUCCUCGAGCGUAUGGGGCUCUGUCACCCGCUCGUGUAGGUCCGGCCGGCGGCCAGCCYGACCCUUUAACCAAUCUUUUAACCAGGUUGACCUCGGAUCAGGUASGGAUACCYGWUGAAWUUAAGCAUAUCAAUAAGCGGAGGA
rnacentral:rRNA from 1 species